UUGGCAGAGUAUAUUCAAUAACAAGCUAUGGACCAAAUCGAAUUCAAUAACGAGCGGGCUAUUUGUCAACGCUGUUGGCAAAGAUCA